AACGAACGCUGGCGGCAGGCCUAACACAUGCAAGUCGAGCGCCCUCGCAAGAGGGAGCGGCGGACGGGUGAGUAACGCGUGGGAAUUUUCCUCAAGGUACGGAACAACUCAGGGAAACUUGGGCUAAUACCGUAUGAUGUCCAGCGACCAAAGAUUUAUCGCCUUGGGAUAAGCCCGCGUCAGAUUAGGUAGUUGGUGGGUAACGGCCUACCAAGCCUGCGAUCUGUAGCUGGUCNGAGAGGACGAUCAGCCACACUGGGACUGAGACACGGCCCAGACUCCUACGGAGGCAGCAGUGGGGAAUCUUGCGCAAUGGGCGAAAGCCUGACGCAGCCAUGCCGCGUGAAUGAUGAAGGUCUUAGGAUUGUAAAGUUCUUUCGCCCGUGAC
rnacentral:rRNA from 1 species